rnacentral:rRNA from 1 species
GGAUUAGAUACCCUGGUAGUCCACGCCGUAAACGAUGUCAACUAGCCGUUGGGCGGUUUAUCCGCUUAGUGGCGCAGCUAACGCGAUAAGUUGACCGCCUGGGGAGUACGGUCGCAAGACUAAAACUCAAAGGAAUUGACGGGGGCCCGCACAAGCGGUGGAGCAUGUGGUUUAAUUCGAUGCAACGCGAAGAACCUUACCAGCCCUUGACAUCCUGCGAACUUUCUAGAGAUAGAUUGGUGCCUUCGGGAACGCAGUGACAGGUGCUGCAUGGCUGUCGUCAGCUCGUGCCG